CUCCAGCCCCGAUUGCAGCGGAAAUCCGUUUCUGCCGGGGUCCGGCACAAAAGAUUACAGCGCAAAGCGGGAGAGGCU
rnacentral:sRNA from 22 species